rnacentral:rRNA from 1 species
GACGAACGCUGGCGGCGUGCUUAACACAUGCAAGUCGAACGGAAAGGCCCUGCUUUUGUGGGGUGCUCGAGUGGCGAACGGGUGAGUAACACGUGAGUAACCUGCCCUUGACUUUGGGAUAACUUCAGGAAACUGGGGCUAAUACCGGAUAGGAGCUCCUGCUGCAUGGUGGGGGUUGGAAAGUUUCGGCGGUUGGGGAUGGACUCGCGGCUUAUCAGCUUGUUGGUGGGGUAGUGGCUUACCAAGGCUUUGACGGGUAGCCGGCCUGGGAGGGUGACCGGCCACAUUGGGCCUGAGAUACGGCCCAGACGCCUACGGGAGGCAGCAGUGGGGAAUAUUGCACAAUGGGCGGAAGCCUGAUGCAGCAACGCCGCGUGCGGGAUGACGGCCUUCGGGUUGUAAACCGCUUUCGCCUGUGACGAGGCGUGAGUGACGGUAAUGGGUAAAGAAGCACCGGCUAACUACGUG